CCAACACAAGCAAAGCCAGAAAAUAGGUUCCACAAGCCAUCACAGUGAGAUAAGGAGGAACGGAAGUCUGACAGCAGCUGAUACCAAUAUCGCAGGAAGCAGAGUUUUGAUGAUCACAAACUUACCUGCAGCCACCAACCACAAACUCUGCUUCCAUCCCGGCAAGGAAGCCGCAGCUAACUGCAGUGAAUCUGUUUUUUUCUAGAGAGUAAACGAAAGGGCUCCCCGUCAAAUCCACCAUUUUGCUACUUCCAUUAUUUCCGUUGCAGAAGAAGGUAACGGGGCUGUUCACCUGAAGCGUGCCUCCAAUAGCCUGAUGCAGGCCUCCAGUAGAAAUAUUCAGCACCUCCAGUUGGGCUCGCUUCAAAACAGGCUUGUAAUGAGGAGCAGAGCUGGUAGUUUUAGAAGACUGGUUGCUGCACUCGAUUUCAAACCAGUCGUCUAAGUAAAGAGAAUAUCACUCCGGUUCAUCCCAGGAAAUCAGUUGAUUUCCCCAAAUCAGACUUGACAGAUUCUUCCUCCCAAGAUCAACGACAUAUUAGCUAGAAUUGAUUCAUAACAUAUAUGAGAUUAUUGUACUUACCAUGUAUUGCUUAUUUCUGUAAAUAGACUUGAGAAAGUCUACUCUCUGUACAUUAUAUACGGCUGCAAUACAGAGACCAAAUACACUGGUUGAUUCAAUUA